GUCUACGGCCAUACCACCCUGAAUGCGCCCGAUCUCAUCUGAUCUCUGAAGCUAAGCAGGGUCGGGCCUGGCUAGUACUUGGAAGGGAGAAAAGGAAAGAGUGAGCUGCUGGUU
ensembl:rRNA 5S_rRNA 5S ribosomal RNA